rnacentral:rRNA from 1 species
AGAGAGAGACAUGCGCGCAUAUCAAUAAGCGGAGGAAAAGAAACUAACAAGGAUUCCCUAGUAACGGCGAGUGAAGCGGGAAGAGCUCAAAUUUGAAAUCUUAAAGGGUUUCCCUUUACGAAUUGUAGUUUAAAGAAGUGUUUUCUGUUGAGGUUUUGGUAAAAGUUCUUUGGAAUAGGACAUCAUAGAGGGUGAGAAUCCCGUAUUUGACCUUUACUUUCAACUUUGUGAUACACUUUCAAAGAGUCGGAUUGUUUGGGAAUGCAGUCCAAAAUGGGUGGUAAAUUUCAUCUAAAGCUAAAUAUUGGCGAGAGACCGAUAGCGAACAAGUACCGUGAGGGAAAGAUGAAAAGAACUUUGAAAAGAGAGUUAAACAGUACGUGAAAUUGUCAAAAGGGAAGCGUUUGACACCAGUGUUGUUUUUCUGAAAAUCAAUUAAAGAACUGUUUAUGCUAAGUUGUUUAGACUUUAUCAGCUAACUGUUUAGUUUUGAGCUUUUCUUUAAUGCACUUUUCAGUUAACAAGUCAACAUCAAUUUCUUUUGCUGUAAAAAAGCUUGAGGAAGGUGGCUUGAGAUUCGUCUUAAGUGUUUAUAGCCUCUUGCCUAUGCAGUCGGAGAGAUUGAGGUCUGCAGCGUAGAUCCUUCGGGGCUAAAUGCAUUUGUGCUAAGUUAUAGCAUUUUAUAGACAACUUGUUGACUAUGAUUUGUCUUGUAGCUUACUCGCUUAUGUUAUUUUACCUACGCUUAGGAUGUUGAGCGCAUGUCUCUCUCU